rnacentral:rRNA from 1 species
GAGGAACUUGUUCCUCGAGUCGUUGAUUUCACACUGCCGAGAAAAGCCUCUAGCUAGAAUAACGGUGCCCGUACCGCAAACCGACACAGGUAGUCAAGAUGAGAAUUCUAAGGUGAGCGAGCGAACUCUCGUUAAGGAACUCGGCAAAAUGACCCCGUAACUUCGGGAGAAGGGGUGCUCUUUGAGGUUCACGCUUCGAAGAGCCGCAGUGAAUAGGCCCAAGCGACUGUUUAUCAAAAACACAGGUCUCUGCUAAACCGUAAGGUGACGUAUAGGGGCUGACGCCUGCCCGGUGCUGGAAGGUUAAGAGGAGUGGUUAGCGCAAGCGAAGCUACGAAUCGAAGCCCCAGUAAACGGCGGCCGUAACUAUAACGGUCCUAAGGUAGCGAAAUUCCUUGUCGGGUAAGUUCCGACCCGCACGAAAGGCGUAACGAUUUGGGCACUGUCUCAACGAGAGACUC